UAGAUAAGGAUGAAGCAAUAUAUAUAAUCCAACACUUGAUCUGAUUUUGUGAUGCCAAAUAUAUUUAUUAUGUUUCUGAAUCUAC
rnacentral:snoRNA from 14 species